CCUGUGGAGUGUUAGAUCAAACUGUAGUAGCGAGUGGUUGGCAAGGCAGGACACGUAGAAGCAGGAA
ncrna:Bacillus anthracis str. 'Ames Ancestor' RAGATH-18 RNA